AUGUGGUCAUUCUGUCUGUAGCCUCCCAUUCCUCCCUGCUUUCCCCAGCUGCAUCUACCUGGAUCCUGAAUUUGAACCAAGUGGUCCAAACGGCCCGGUCACCUGAGCAACCCCUCUGCAGGAACCGCAGGGUCGGGCCACAGGGAGAGGAGCGAGGCCUUGAUGUCACAGAUCUGCUUUGAGGCCCAGCCUUUGGAUGUGCACUGCUGCCAGUUCUUGAUUAUUAAAUCCCAUUGUGGUGGAA
rnacentral:lncRNA from 1 species